rnacentral:rRNA from 1 species
CAGCAGUCGCCGCGGGAAUACGGAGGGUGCAAGCGUUAAUCGGAAUUACUGGGCGUAAAGGGUGCGUAGGCGGUUGUUUAAGUCUGUUGUGAAAUCCCCGGGCUCAACCUGGGAAUUGCAGUGGAUACUGGGUCACUAGAGUGUGGUAGAGGAUAGUGGAAUUUCCGGUGUAGCAGUGAAAUGCGUAGAGAUCGGAAGGAACAUCUGUGGCGAAGGCGACUAUCUGGGCCAACACUGACACUGAGGCACGAAAGCGUGAGGAGCAAACAGGAUUAGAUACCCGCGUAGUCCCUGUCUCUUAUAC